CAUGUUAUGAUUUGGAAACUCUACUAAGACCUUCAAACUUUCUGGUGUUUUAAAAGGAGGGCACAUUCAAUAAAAAAUCUCUCAGCUAUAAAAACUAUUUAAUGGAAAAAAAUAGAAGGAAAUAAGGUGUGGAAAACUUCAUCAAGUAAAACGGAUCCUGGAAAGUGACUUAAGGAAAGUAUUCAUUCUAGGCUGGUUGUUUUUAAAAUGAGAAUAUUUAGCUUUUUACCUUACUUGGGGGCAUUUUGAGGACUUUCAGGGUAAUCACUACUAACUACGCCCCUCCCCACCACCAAAGCAAAAAAAACACACCUGUUCAUGUUUUACUGGCAAAACAGGUGUGCCGUAUCAAGAGACAAAACUAGCACUAGAGACUCUUAGCAUUCUUCAAUUGUUUCCAAGUCAUCAGGGUCCUCUCAUAGGACAGUAAGAUUUAGAACCUUCUAAAGUAUCCAUAACCAUUUGAGAUAACAUUGUUUUUCAGAAGAAAAGAAAGGAAGGAGGGAUCCCAGCAUGUAAUUUCCUAGAGGGGGAUCCAUGGACCCUGAAUCUUUUAGAGCUGGAGGACCCUUCCUUCUCUCUUCCCCAAAGCACCCAGGCUCAGUAUGUGCUAUUGAAAGAAAAGCAAACAUCUCAAAGACUAAUUGAAGUCAUCAGUGACUUAUGAGCCUAUCUAUCCUGGGAGUAUUUCAGUUUACAAAGAAGAACAAUGGAAUAGGGAACUGUUUCCCUUUUAGGAAUCAGUUUCAACUGGAAGGAUUUUAGGGACAUGUACCAGGUCCUUUGUGGGUAUGUGUUGAUGAUGGGAAGGGGAAGAACUUGUCCUCCUAAAUUCUCACCUACUUUAUGCUAGGCACUUUGGUACAUUACAGCACACUGAAUUCUACUACCCUAUGAAAGACAAGUUUAUUUUAUAGAUCAAGAAAGGAGAACUCGGGUAAGUCAGAUACCUUGCCUAAGAUCACCUGCUAGAGAGAGGCAAAGUUUAGAUGUGCUUCACAGCUGAGGUUCUCUCCAUGAUCCAUGAAGGUUAAUAGCCAAACUUAUAAGUCAAAGGAUGUUGUUUAGGAACAAGGUAGGCAUCCACAAGGCAGGAGAUUCCUUAAUCCAAGGGUCCUUUCAGCUCUUGGGAAAUUGUUUUCUCUACCUGUAGGUCAGGUCUUUAUGAACCUUCUUCCCCAUGGAGGACAGACACACACUACACUCACCUGACGCGGCCCUACCAUCUGUUCUCUGGGUCAUUCCCUCCCUCGUUAUUUUCUCCCAUGACGCCAGCCCCAACCUCCCCAUUGGCUGGGAAAGCUACGAAGCUCCGCCUUCGAGUAGCAACGGACUAUAUAAGGCGGUACCCUGGCUAGAGAAGAGGCAGCAGGGUGUGUGUUAAGCUUUGCCUGCUUUUGCCAUCAGUGCACACAAUUUUCGAAGCCAGAGGAGGUGGCCUUGAGCAGUGGCCCAUGCUACCCUCCGUGGGUUACUUUUGCCAUUUUCCAUGCCCUUUUGACAGCCCCGGGGGUCGGUGCCAGCGUUUGUGCUGCCAGUUCAGGCACCGGGAAAUGCGGUGGGAACUGAGUGAGGCAGCUCGUGGCAGCAGCUUGGAGGUGCUCGGAGUGCAGCGGAGCCAUGUUGAAUCCAUGGGAACUGACCUGUUAGUCAACAAUUCCCUGCAUUUAAGGCUGGGUUUGGAAAAGUUAAUGUCCUUGUGAUAGGAAACUCAUUGUCCAGGAUAUUGUGGAGUCCACAUUUCAUCUUAAGUGAUGUUUAAAGAUAAACUCAUCUUCCAUUAACAACACUAGGCACAACUAUGGAAGAAUUGGAAAGAAUCAACAAAGAAAUCGAGUCAGUCAAGGCUGAGGUUGCAGAAAAGCGGAAGAGGCUCUCCAGGUUUACUUUAGCGCUUGAAGAGCUAUCGCAAAGCCCUGUGGCCUCCUUGAGUGACACAAAUGUGAGACAAGGUUUUCCUGAAAAUAGCCUGCUCCCAAAAGAACAGUGGAAUGAACCGUCAAGGAGCAAAGAGAGUCAGCCUAGAAAGUACGUGAUGGACCACAGAUGUCCAGCAACUGACCUUGAAUAUGAUCCCUUGCUCAAUUAUUCUGCAGGGCUGCUUGGGGCAUCUAAAGCAAAGCAGGAUGAGACUGACAGGCAGCACUUCUGGAAAAAAUCUGUGGGUGGAAAUUGCCACAAGUCCCUGGAGGGCCAAAGACCUUAUGUUUCACCAAUACGAAUUAAAAUAAAUCUUCAAGAUUCUGAUGAAGAUGACCUUGUAAUGGAUGUACCUCCAAUCAUUCCUACUUCUAAGAAAUCUAAACCAUUUAGAGGCUUUAAAUAUCAGAAUAUGGAUGAAAAGAUACAAGUAUCGCCCCUGGAGGAGAGAAGUCUUCAGAUCAGUGGUAUAGAAGAGGAAAAGACAGCUGAAACCCAGCUAACCACAGAGAUGAUGACAGUAACAAGUUCGAGCCACCAAAAUCACACAUGAAAACCUCACUAGAUACUGAAACUAACAUAAGCUUGUGUGGUGUCAAAAACCCCAUUUCUAAGAUGGAAAGCUUCAAUGGUGAGGAAAAGCAUGUCUGUAUUUCAGGAGAAAGUAUGACUUGUGCACCUCUCAGUGACAAAGAACUACAGGAGGAAAGUCAUAAUGAAAGUUAUCCAAAGAGCAGAAGACAGGUAAAAACAAUUGAUGAUACUCAAAAAGAAGAAACUGAAUGGCGAUACUCACCAAGCGAACUCCAGUUCUCUUAUUCAGACAAUCAUGUGAAAGACAAAGUUCUGAGAGUACAAGACGACAGUCAAGACUUCACUACUUUUGAAGACAGCAGAUUAGUUGAAUUUGAUUUUGAUAAGGAAUGUACUGAAGAUGACACUCCCUCUGAUGUUGAUGACACUGUGAAGGAAUGUCUUCGAAUUCUCAAUGAGUUCACACGAAGCAAAGCUCAUAAGGCAGAGACUGCUAAGCAGCCUUCAGGAAAGCAAAUGGAAUUAGAUAUGCAGUAUUACCAAAACAUUUCUGGACCGAAAGGAGGAUUGCACACACUGCCAAGUUUGAUGUUCCAACCAGUAAAGAGAUCACUAGCCCAUCCAGGGGACCAGUCCCACCAUUAAUUAGUCACACUGGAAUCCUUCAGGCCCAGCAACGGGCAGUGCAGAUAAUGGCUGCCAUUAAGGGUGGGCAGGCUUUUGUUGCUGCCACUUCAGAACAGAAAAAAAAUACAUUUGCAUGUCCAGCCUCUCAGACCCAAAGAAAAGCCUCAGGAGAAAAUUCAUGUACAUCAGACAGCCUUCAUGUGGAUGUAGUUCUUUCAAAGGAAAAUCCAACUGCAAAGCCAAACAGAUCACACAUUCCUGUGAAAAGUAUUGCUUCUUUUCCUGUAAAGGCUAAAAUAGAAGAAAAGGCCAUUUAUGAAUGCUGUAGCCAUCGAAAUAUGUAUGUGAACAUAGCAAGAAAUACUCUGAAGAAGCUGAGAGACCAAGCUUCUAGGAAGAUGUGCUGUCGAUGUGGGAAGAUCUAUGGCGUGACUCCUGCAGGCAAACACAGCAGCGUAGAGGAAUGUCACUACCACUUUGGCCGACUGCUUCACGUUCAGGACCAAAAAGAAAACCUAGAAGGCUUUGUGAAGACUUUUGUCAAGUUCCCACCCCGCAGCGGGAAUCAUGCUGUAUUUGCCAUGAAUUGUGAGGUGUGCUAUACAGCCAAAGGUUUGGAACUUACUCAAGUGACAGUGGUUGAUCCCAGCCUCCAGGUGGGCUAUGAUACAUCUGUGAAACCAGAUGAAGAAGUCAUUGACUAUAACACUAGGUUUUCUGGUGUGGUUGAAGAUGACUUGAAGGACACGAAAACCUCAAUCCGUGAUGUGCAAGCCACCUUGUUGAACCUGUUCAGCGCUGACACUGUACUAAUUGGACAUAGCUUUGAAUGUAGUCUCUAUGCACUUAAGUUAAUUCAUACUUCAGUUGUGGACACGACAGUUAUGUUUCCUCAUCGGCUAGGCUUGCUUCACAAAAGAUCCCUUAAAAGUCUAGUGGCCGACUACCUGCGGAGAAUCAUUCAGGAUGAUGGUCACAAUUCAAGUGAAAAUGCAACCACCUGCAUGGAAGUCUGGAAGGUAAAAGACGACCUGAAAGGAAAGAAGUAACCACUUUGCCCAAGGAUAUCUUAAACCUCUGCAUUGCUUCCGUGACUACUUGGCCUCCACUGCUGGCAGUAGAGUUUGGUCUAUAAUAACAUGAGGUUUCUCCACACUUUCAAAGAGAAGAGGAGAAGGAAAAGCACUGUUGAGGUCUACUUAUUACAUUUUAAAGGUUAAAUUUCCACAGUGAUUUCUAAAGUUGUGACCGGGGAAGAGCGGGGGAAGGAAUUAGGUUUUUUGGAAUUUGACUCAUCUUCAUAGGCAAUGUACAAAUAACAGCGGAAGAUGGUUUGAAGUUGAAGUAAUGGGUCCAGGACUUUCACAAAGGUCGUUUCUCAGGUUACUUAAAUUCCUUUUUCUCUCUGAAUACUUAGAACCAUUAUACUGCUUGGAGAUAGAAACAUCUUUACCUAACAAAAUUGUAAGUCUUCUUUAGAUCAUCUAUAUAGAAAUAGAAGUGGAGAUUUUCCUCACAAAAUCUAUGGAAGUAAAUGUAAACUUUUCAGUGUACUAUUAACAUAAAAGUUCUGGUCAUUUGGCUAUUGUGUAAUGUGUUUUUAAUCUAACUAGUGUAUUCUUACUUGAUUUUGAUAUCAACAACUCACUGACUUUUUUUUUUUUUUUUAAGGCAGUGUCCUAUGGCUACUCUAAACACACUGAAAUCUAAUCGAUAUACCCAGUACUGGAAUUGUCUAAUUUCUUUUAAGGCGUUGGUUCUUUCCUUCUUAAUUGCUUUAUGAUAAUGUGGAAACUGGCCCAUGGAAAUGACAUGACUUUAUUCAGUUUGACUACUGACCUCUGAAGCACGGGCUCUAGGCACGCAGGCUUCAGUAGUUGUCACGCAUGGGCUUAGUUGCUCCACAGCAUGUGGGAUCUUCCCAGACCAGGGCUCGAACCUGUGUCGCCUGCAUUGGCAGGCAUGUUCUUAUCCACUGUGCCACCAGGGAAGUCCAGUUCCUUUUUCUUGAUACCGUAAGUACUUCCUUAGUCAUCUCUUACACCUGACGUGAAGUAAAUUUGUAAUGAUGUAAAUUUAAAGUAUUUUAAAUAUAUGUAAUCAAGAAGGUCAGGCUGUUAUAGAAAAAGCAGCUGUUAUUGUGUAUUCCAAAGCCACACGCAAAAUUUGAAGACAUUAUCUACAUUUUUCAGAUCCUUGUUCUUGUUCAGUUCCAUGUACAUGCAAACCAAGAGCUGUCAGGAGUAUCUCAACAUUUGGGUAAAAAGCAAAAAGGAACUAUUUAUAUAUAUAUGU